GGCAAGAAUGAUAGCUCGGGACAAGUGGCACCAAGAAACCCGGGAACUUCAUACCAUCACCCGCGCCUCCGUUCACGGGGCGGGUUCAGAACUGCGGGACACGUAAGGCUCUGUAAGCCACUUCUUGAGCACCAUGUCUGCCUUCAUGUUGUCAUGCUCCUCACUGUGCAGACAAUGGACUAAACUGAACCGAUCCACUGUCCUUGUGAUUUUCCAGCCUAGAAGAAGAAGGAAGAAGAGGAGGAACAGGAGA